rnacentral:rRNA from 1 species
UACGAAGGGGGCUAGCGUUGCUCGGAAUCACUGGGCGUAAAGCGCACGUAGGCGGCUUCUUAGGCCGGGGGGAAAUCCUGGAGCUCAACUCCAGAACUGCCUUUGAUACUGGGAAGCUCGAGUCCGGGAGGGGUGAGUGGAACUCCGAGUGUAGAGGUGAAAUUCGUAGAUAUUCGGAAGAACACCAGUGGCGAAGGCGGCUCACUGGCCCGGUACUGACGCUGAGGUGCGAAAGCGUGGGGAGCAAACAGG